rnacentral:rRNA from 1 species
GAUGAACGCUGGCGGCGUGCCUAAUACAUGCAAGUCGAGCGAACAGACGAGGAGCUUGCUCCUCUGACGUUAGCGGCGGACGGGUGAGUAACACGUGGAUAACCUACCUAUAAGACUGGGAUAACUUCGGGAAACCGGAGCUAAUACCGGAUAAUAUAUUGAACCGCAUGGUUCAAUAGUGAAAGACGGUUUUGCUGUCACUUAUAGAUGGAUCCGCGCCGCAUUAGCUAGUUGGUAAGGUAACGGCUUACCAAGGCAACGAUGCGUAGCCGACCUGAGAGGGAGGUCGGCCACACUGGAACUGAGACACGGUCCAGACUCCUACGGGAGGCAGCAGUAGGGAAUCUUCCGCAAUGGGCGAAAGCCUGACGGAGCAACGCCGCGUGAGUGAUGAAGGUCUUCGGAUCGUAAAACUCUGUUAUUAGGGAAGAACAAAUGUGUAAGUAACUAUGCACGUCUUGACGGUACCUAAUCAGAAAGCCACGGCUAACUACGUG